CGAGAGAAGGACACAGGGAAACUUACCGCAAAAUUUUCCCUGUUUAUAGCUUUCUUGGGGAAGAAAACACAUGAACAAAUCCUCGUGAUAGGAAUAUUUUAAGCAUAUAUCUUCAAUAUUACUCAUCCAGGACCGAAGUAAGUCCUGAUGCAGGAAAUGAGUGAGUUUCACAGCUUUCUGAGCCCCUACUCGACCCAGGAAGCCCAGCUGGCACCUCCUCUCAGUAUGCUAUUGAAAAGUGAAUUUGUGAUAAAGGAAGCAUGGGUGACAAGGUUUAUAAGGAGGAAAUAAAUGUCAGCAACUCAAUAGUCAAAAAGGCAACAAUCACAAUGCUAGAUGACCAAAGCAAUAACUUUCUGAAGACAACAGAUUUCUGUGAUGUCUGGCUUAAUAGAAGACAUCUGGAAUCUUCUAUUUGUUUCUGUAUCUAAUCUUUUGUGAAUUAAUAUAUCAUGUAGUCUCCAGAAAACUCAACUGUACAGUCAUGAGGGAAUUAAAGUAAAAAAAGCUGAAUAGUAUCUUUAUUAUGA
rnacentral:lncRNA from 1 species